rnacentral:rRNA from 1 species
UGAAUACGAGACGCUAAGGCGUCGAAGUAGUGUAUGUCAUACUUCCAAGAAAAGCUUGCACUGUCAUAGAUAAAAAACGCCUGUACCAUAACCGACACAGGUGGGUAGGUAGAGUAUACUAAGGGGCGCGAGAUAACUCUCUCUAAGGAACUCGGCAAAAUAACUCCGUAACUUCGGGAGAAGGAGUGCCUUAUUCGUAAGGUUGCAAUAACAAGAUCCAAGCAACUGUUUAUCAAAAACACAGGUCUCCGCUAAGUCGUAAGACGAUGUAUGGGGGCUGACGCCUGCCCAGUGCCAGUAGGUUAAAGAAGUUGGUUAGCAAUUGCGAAGCUGAUAACUGAAGCCCUGGUGAACGGCGGCCGUAACAAUAACGGUCCUAAGGUAGCGAAAUUCCUUGUCGGGUAAGUUCCGACCCGCACGAAAGGCGUAAUGAUUUGGAUACUGUCUCGGAGAGGGGCUCGGUGAAAUAGACUUGUCUGUGAAGAUGCGGACUACCUGCACCAGGACAGAAAGACCCUAUGAAGCUUUACUGUAACUUGAAAUUGAAAUUGGACUUUAUUCGCGCAGUAUAGGUGGGAGGCGUUGAUUAUAAUCUUGUGGGAUUAUUGGAGCCAUCAGUGAGAUACCACUCUUGUAAUGUUAGAUUUCUAACUUUGAAUCAUUAUCUGGUCAAAGAACAGUUUCAGGCGGGCAGUUUGACUGGGGCGGUCGCCUCCUAAACGGUAACGGAGGCGUACAAAGGUUUCCUCUGAACGGUUAGAAAUCGUAUCUAGAGUGUAAAGGCAUAAGGAAGCUUGACUGUGAGACCUACAAGUCGAGCAGGGACGAAGGUCGGUCUUAGUGAUCUGACGGUACUGAGUGGAAAGGCCGUCACUCAACGGAUAAAAGUUACUCUAAGGAUAACAGGCUGAUCUCCCCCAAGAGUUCACAUCGACGGGGAGGUUUGGCACCUCGAUGUCGGCUCAUCGCAUCCUGGGGCGGUAGUACGUCCCAAGGGUUGGGCUGUUCGCCCAUGAAAGCGGUACGCGAGCUGGGUUCAGAACGUCGUGAGACAGUUCGGUCCAUAUCCGGUGUAGGCGUUAGAAUAUUGAGAGGAGCCUUCUUUAGUACGAGAGGACCGAGAAGGACAUACCUCUGGUGUACCAGUUAUCGUGCCAACGGUAACCGCUGGGUAGCUAUGUAUGGAGUGGAUAACCGCUGAAAGCAUCUAAGUGGGAAGCCCACCUCAAGAUAAGUAUUCUCA